rnacentral:rRNA from 1 species
AAGUCAAACAAAAUCUUUACACAAUACACAAUAAUUUAGUUAAAAAUUUAGAUAGUACUCAUACAACCGAUAAUAAUCUAUCAACCGCAAGGGUAAAUAACCCUAAAUAAUAGAAGGCAUUAAUAACCCUACCUUUUGCAUAAUGUAACUACAACCACAAACAGAAUAUCCUGCUUCCCGAAAAAUGAAGAGCUAUCUUAGUCAAUCUCUAACCCCUUAGUGUCUCAUUACUAAGCUAGAAAUUAAGAUAGAAGCAAAAUACUUUUCGAGUCACUUGAUAGCUGGUUAUCCCUAAAAAGUAUAUUAGUACUGCUUUUCAGCUCCACAAUCAUAUCUCGCCCCUGAAAAAGAAACCCUAAUGAGGAUAAGCCCAUUAGAAGCACAGAAAUAUCAUCCCCAUUAACAUCAUUUAGAAGGCUUAAAACCAGCCAACAAUCCCCGUUAUAGGGUACGAAUAAAUGUAAAAUCUAAGAUAAAAUAAAAAUUCAACAAUUUAAAGGGAUCCUAUAAUACAACAAUUUCUAUAACGAACCGGUACUUAUUAGUAUUUUCAAUGUUUCAUCAUAAGCCACUAACAAGAACAGCUCCCUCAAACCUGAUAAUCAUUGAUAAAUAAUCGCGAAUAAUGAACUCGGCAAAACCCUUCUUCGCCUGUUUACCAAAAACAUCGUCUUUUGUUUACACCCAUAAAAGAUAUCGCCUGCCCAAUGACUUUUAGUUAAAUGGCCGCGUUAGCGUGAGCGUGCUAAGGUAGCGUAAUAAACAGCCCCUUAAUUGGGGGCCAGUGAAUGGCAUGACAAAGAAGAACUUUAUAUAAUUCACGAAAAAAGAAUUUUUUUUCUAAGUGAAAAAACUUAGAUUAGAGAAAGAGACGAAAAGACCCCGCGGAACUUUACCUGUAGUUUAACCUACCAAAAUCAUAGGUUUAAGAUUACAAAAUUGGUUGGGGCAACCUUGAAACAAACAAAACCUUCAAACAAAUAGCUCAAACACAUAAAAAAUUUGCUAUAGACAACAAUCGCAGUUACCCCGGGGAUAACAGCGUAAUCUGGCUUAAGAGUACACAUUAAAAGCCAGGUUUGCGACCUCGAUGUUGGCUUAGGGAAAGCAACUUGGCGCAGCCACUAAGUUUAUAUGCCAGUCUGUUCGACUGCAAACCCCCUACACGAGCUGAGUUAAGACCGGUGAGAACUAGGUUGGAUUCUAUCUUUUCCCAUUAAACAACUCUUUAUUGUACGAAAGGACCUAAAGAGACGCAGAUAAAGCGUAGUUAAAUUUACCUCAACAGAAAUUAACCCAUUACA